CCUACGGGAGUCAGCAGUGGGGAAUAUUGGACAAUGGGCGAAAGCCUGAUCCAGCAAUGCCGCGUGAGUGAUGAAGGCCUUAGGGUUGUAAAGCUCUUUUACCCGGGAUGAUAAUGACAGUACCGGGAGAAUAAGCUCCGGCUAACUCCGUGCCAGCAGCCGCGGUAAUACGGAGGGAGCUAGCGUUGUUCGGAAUUACUGGGCGUAAAGCGUACGUAGGCGGUUAUUCAAGUCAGAGGUGAAAGCCUGGGGCUCAACUCCAGAACUGCCUUUGAAACUAGAUAGCUAGAAUCAUGGAGAGGUCAGUGGAAUUCCGAGUGUAGAGGUGAAAUUCGUAGAUAUUCGGAAGAACACCAGUGGCGAAGGCGACUGACUGGACAUGUAUUGACGCUGAGGUACGAAAGCGUGGGGAGCAAACAGGAUUAGAUACCCUGGUAGUCCACGCCGUAAACGAUGAUAACUAGCUGUUCGGACCUUUAAGGUUUGAGUGGCGNNGCUACGCAUAAGUUAUCGUCCGUGGGUAGGUACGGUCGCAGAUAAACUACAAUAGAGUAGACGGCGNGAGACGNGCCGACGACGACGACGAGGGAGGUAGG
rnacentral:rRNA from 1 species